rnacentral:rRNA from 1 species
UGCCUAAUACAUGCAAGUCGAACGCAGUAGCAAUACUGAGUGGCGCACGGGUGAGUAACACGUGGAUAAUCUCCCUUCGAGUGGGGAAUAACUUUUCGAAAGAAGAGCUAAUACCGCAUAAGACCACAGGAACUUUGGUUCUAGGGGUCAAAGGGGGCGUAAGCUCUCGCUUGAAGAUGAGUCCGCGCCCGAUUAGCUAGUUGGUAGGGUAAUGGCCUACCAAGGCAUUUAUCGGUAGCUGGUCUGAGAGGAUGAUCAGCCACACUGGAAGUGAGACACGGUCCAGACUCCUACGGGAGGCAGCAGUGGGGAAUAUUGGACAAUGGGCGAAAGCCUGAUCCAGCAAUACCGCGUGUGUGAAGAAGGCCUGAGGGUUGUAAAGCUC